rnacentral:rRNA from 1 species
UGCGUAGGUGGUGAGGUAAGUCGGAUGUGAAAGCUCGGAGCUCAACUCCGAAAUGGCAUUGGAAACUACCUUGCUCGAGGGUUGGAGGGGGGACUGGAAUGCUUGGUGUAGCAGUGAAAUGCGUGGAUAUCAAGCGGAACACCAGUGGCGAAGGCGAGUCCCUGGACAACUCCUGACACUGAGGCACGAAAGCUAGGGGAGCAAACA